rnacentral:rRNA from 1 species
AUUGAACGCUGGCGGCAGGCCUAACACAUGCAAGUCGAGCGAGCGGCGGACGGGUGAGUAAUGUAUGGGGACUGCCCGAUAGAGGGGGAUAACUACUGGAAACGGUAGCUAAUACCGCAUACUAUCGGAUAACCCAUAUGGGAUGAGCUAGUAGGUGAGGUAAUGUCUCACCUAGGCGACGAUCCCUAGCUGGUCUGAGAGGAUAAUGGGCCACACUGGUACUGAGACACGGCCCAGACUCCUACGGAGGCAGCAGUGGGGAAUAUGGCACAAUGGGCGCAAGCCUGAUGCAGCCAUGCCGCGUGAAUGAAGAAGGCCCUAGGGUUGUAAAGUACUGUCAUUCGGGAGGCGUUACCGACAGAGGAAGCACCGGCUAACUCCGUGCCAGCAGCCGCGGUAAUAC